GAUAUACAGUCCGGGACAUUUCUAUUUGGACAUAAAAAAUUUGAAUUUUCUGACAUUUAUACGUAUAUUCAGCGUCUAUGUGAACAAAAAAUGUUCUCUCUCUCAUUCUAUGGUCCUUGAGCUUUAAUAACAGGGACAUUUUUUAAAUUGGUAGCAUUAGAAAAUGACAGUAAACAGCUGACUGAUGUAAACAAUAACACAAUAACAAAGGAAAUAGGAAGGAAAUGUUAUAAUUUUAAUCUAUAUAACCAGUGGCUGCUUUAAAAGUGUGUACUAACAGGAUAAUAAAAUAUUUACAUUGUAUGAUGAGACGGGAAUGGCACAACACAGAAUUGCAGUCAGUGAUUGUGCUGGAGAAAGCUGCUGUGACGUACUGACAGUACUGACUGUCGCUGGUUGUAUGAUUUGCGUAAUUUGUGAUAUAUUUUGUGUGAAAAACUGGAAAACAAAGUGCAUACCUGCAUAACCUCACUUAUCGCAGUUUUGCACAUUUUGAUGAUGGGAAUUGCGGUUCAAGUAAUUAUGAGUUAUAGAUGGAGCUCACUGUUUACUUCAAACUGAAGCCUUUUGGGUCCACUUUUUUCGUUGUUAUUUCCUGGUAGCGACUCUUGUUUCAAGCAGAAUGGGUGUAAAGUUAAAAAUAAUCCCAUAAAAUUGUUAAUAUAACUCCGUUGCACUGGCAUGGGGUAUUUGAAAACUUACGUUUAACAAAUACGUCACAAAGUCUCAGCCAUCGUCGAAAAACAUAAUAAGGGCUUUAUAACAACAAGCGCUUUCUGAUUUUACUGUGGACGUGUGGAAGAAUAGUGUGAAAUAUUGCGAAAAACCAACUUUUACUCUUGUUUACAUUUUUGUACGUCUCUAUCUGAGAGUA